CAGUGGUGCAUGGUUGUCGUCAGCUCGUGUCGUGAGAUGUUGGGUUAAGUCCCGCAACGAGCGCAACCCUCGACCUUAGUUGCCAGCAUUCAGUUGGGCACUCUAAGGUGACUGCCGGCUAAAAGUCGGAGGAAGGUGGGGAUGACGUCAAAUCAUCAUGCCCCUUAUGACCUGGGCUACACACGUGCUACAAUGGGCGGUACAAAGGGUCGCGAACCCGCGAGGGGGAGCCAGUCCCAAAAAGCCGCUCUCAGUUCGGAUUGCAGGCUGCAACUCGCCUGCAUGAAGCCGGAAUCGCUAGUAAUCGCGGAUCAGCAUGCCGCGGUGAAUACGUUCCCGGGCCUU
rnacentral:rRNA from 1 species